UUCCACCAAGCUCAGAUGAGGUAGUGCAUCCCAGACUACAGAGGAGGAAUACCAGAAGCCCAGGAACACCAAAAGCCUGCCAGGCCUUCUCAACCUCCUCCACAUGACUAUGAGAAUGUGGAGUCCAGCUACUCAGGGAGCCACUAUUCUUCCGGGUCUCCAGCCAGACCUGAGGCAGCUUUCAAAGGUGUCUAUUACAGACAGUGACCGAGGCUUCCUAAGCCAUCCAUCUGAGUUUAUUUCAAUUUUUUUCUUUGCCAUAUUUUUAAAACUCCCAUCACUUUCUAUUGGCCAAGAGCCUUGGAACAAUGUACCUAGUCGUUGGCAGUGGGUUCGGGGAGGGUGUUGGCCAAGAGGAGGUGCAGCUGAGAGCUGAAACUCACACGCUGUCAUUUGUUCUUUCUUUUAAUUGGCGCGACAACAAAGAACCGAAAGGAGACGCCUUGUGACAUUCUAACUCCUGCUGGCUCUUAACUGUGGAUGAUGAUGUGGAAGAUGAUGAAGAUUUAAAAAAGAGUGAAAUGUUCCUGUUUUGCUGUAUUAGUCGUUUGCUGGUGUUUCUGUCCAUCCUUGGAUCAUGCUCGUCAUGGUGGAUCAGGCCUUUUGCUGGAUAUAUAACUGUGCAAUCUCUGUCCCUGUAUCUAUGGCUGUCUAUGGGAUGUGUAAGGUAAAAUGGUGGCCGCGUGGUUCUGUGCACUCCCAGGUUCCAGUUCUCCUGUGCUUGUAUCGUGCUGCACAUCAAGGCUGAACAACAACAUGACCGGCCCAGUCCAAAACUCUAUUAUAUCAGGAGAAUGGAUCUUUGUGUUAACGUCUUUCCAGUCCGGAAGCGGAUGGUGAUCGUAUGUGGACUUGUUGCUCUCUACCUGUGUUCCCAUGUCUUUCUAAGGGGCUGGUGUAUAUAGCUGCUGGGAAUACGGACUUGGAGGUGAAGUGUUAUGGGACAUACUGCUAUCAUUGUGUUUCUACGUGCAUACUUACUGACAGUGUUCUGUUCUCUUUGUUAGUCAGCUAGAGCACAAGCCACCGCAAACGCCAAUCAGUUGUUUUGUGGAUCAACAAAACAUGCUAUUUUAAAUAUUACCCCUAAUAUAUUUGAUUGGAUGUGCCGUCAGUAUUUGAUUUUGUCUUAUCUGCUUACAAACUGGCAUCGGCAAAUGCUUUCAGCGCUAAGAGAAGUGGACCAGUAGGAAUUGAAUGCAUGUACAUUUCAGAUCUGUGCCAAACAUAACUCUUGUGCUUGUUUUGUCAGAGCUGUAUUCACUAGGAACGGGACAAAACGGGGAGGGACCAACCUGAAUUUGUCCAAUAGAAACUCUUGUUUUUGUUGCAAAACAUUUUCCAUUGCGGUAUGUUUUGCUACAGUGUACAAUAAUGAAUACUCCCCAGGUUGUGUUUUUCCUAACCGACAGUGUCCAUUGAUUGAAUGGUUGACCCGUUGGUUACCUGUUAAAGUGCAAGUUUCUGUUUCUGCAUUUUAUUUAGUUUUAUAUAAUUUUAUUUAAUCUUAUUUGAUUUGGCAUCACUCUUAAAAGGCAUUUCUUGUUUCCUGUA